UUGUUGUGAGGUUCGAUAUUUCUCCUCAUGGGUUGCAGAACUUGUUGUUGCUCCUCUAUAUCUCGGUUGCCAGUAUGCCUUUGCUCUUGCUCCAAGAAUGAUUUUUUUCCCAAUGGGCAGAUACUCUGGUUUAAAUCUAUAAAUGUAGAUUUAUGUCCAUUUUUGGAGUGGCAUAGCUGAGGAUUCAUCUUGUUAUCAAUUAUAAUAU